GUAGGCGGUGUGGCAAGUCGGGAGUGAAAUCUCUGGGCUCAACUCAGAGACUGCUUCCGAAACUGCUGUGCUUGAGUGUGGGAGAGGCGCGUGGAAUUGCAGGUGUAGCGGUGAAAUGCGUAGAUAUCUGCAGGAACACCCGUGGCGAAAGCGGCGCGCUGGACCACUACUGACGCUGAGGAACGAAAGCUAGGGGAGCAAACAGGAUUAGAUACCCUGGUAGUCCUAGCCCUAAACGAUCAGGACUUGGGGUGCCACCCGUUCGGGUGUCGUCCCGGAGCUAACGCGUUAAGUCCUGCACCUGGGGAGUACGGUCGCAAGACUGAAACUCAAAGGAAUUGACGGGGGCCCGCACAAGCGGUGGAACAUGUGGUUCAAUUCGACGCUACGCGAGGAACCUUACCUGGGCUCGAAGCGCACCUGACUAGCUAUAGAAAUAUGGCCUUCCCGCAAGGGACAGGUGUGGAGGCGCUGCAUGGCUGUCGUCAGCUCGUGCCGUGAGGUGUUGGGUUAAGUCCCGCAACGAGCGCAACCCCUGCACGUAGUUGCCACCCGCAAGGGGGAACUCUACGUGGACUGCUCCGGAUAACGGAGAGGAAGGUGGGGAUGACGCCAAGUCCGCAUGGCCUUUAUGUCCAGGGCUACACACGUGUUACAAUGCAGGGCACAAACCGUUGCCAACCCGCGAGGGGGAGCUAAUCGGAAAAAACUCUGCUCAGUUCGGAUUGCAGUCUGCAACUCGACUGCAUGAAGCCGGAAUCGCUAGUAAUGGCGUAUCAGAUCGACGCCGUGAAUACGUUCCCGGGCCUUGUACACACCGCCCGUCACAUCACGAAAGUGAGCUGUACUAGAAG
rnacentral:rRNA from 1 species